rnacentral:tRNA from 1 species
GGGAUCGUAGCUCAGUUGGAAGAGCGCCUGCUUCACACGCAGGAGGUCAUCGGUUCGAGCCCGGUCGGUCCCA